UUAUUCUCAUAAUUUGCACAA
rnacentral:piRNA from 1 species